GUGGGGAAUAUUGGACAAUGGGGGGAACCCUGAUCCAGCCAUGCCGCGUGUGUGAAGAAGGCCUUUUGGUUGUAAAGCACUUUAAGCGAGGAGGAGGCUACCGAGAUUAAUACUCUUGGAUAGUGGACGUUACUCGCAGAAUAAGCACCGGCUAACUCUGUGCCAGCAGCCGCGGUAAUACAGAGGGUGCAAGCGUUAAUCGGAUUUACUGGGCGUAAAGCGCGCGUAGGUGGCCAAUUAAGUCAAAUGUGAAAUCCCCGAGCUUAACUUGGGAAUUGCAUUCGAUACUGGUUGGCUAGAGUAUGGGAGAGGGUGGUAGAAUUCCAGGUGUAGCGGUGAAAUGCGUAGAGAUCUGGAGGAAUACCGAUGGCGAAGGCAGCCAUCUGGCCUAAUACUGACACUGAGGUGCGAAAGCAUGGGGAGCAAACAGGAUUAGAUACCCGAGUAGUCC
rnacentral:rRNA from 1 species